rnacentral:rRNA from 1 species
UUGGAGGGCAAGUCUGGUGCCAGCAGCCGCGGUAAUUCCAGCUCCGAUAGCGUAUAUUAAAGUUGUUGCAGUUAAAAAGCUCGUAGUUGAAUUUCAGGCCUGGCUGGACGGUCCGCCCUUCGGGUGAGUACUGUCUGUGGUCGGGUCCUACCUUCUGGCGAAGCGUCAUGGCCUUAACCGGCCGUGGCGGGGAACCAGGACUUUUACUGUGAAAAAAUUAGAGUGUUCAAAGCAGGCAAUCGCUUGGAUACAUUAGCAUGGAAUAAUGGAAUAGGACAAUGGUUCUAUUUGUUGGUUUCUAGGACCGUUGUAAUGAUUAAUAGGGAUAGUUGGGGGCAUUAGUAUUCAAUUGUCAGAGGUGAAAUUCUUGGAUUUAUUGAAGACUAACUACUGCGAAAGCAUUUGCCAAGGAUGUUUUCAUUAAUCAAGAACGAAAGUUAGGGGAUCGAAGACGAUCAGAUACCGUCGUAGUCUUAACCAUAAACUAUGCCGACUAGGAAUCGGGCGAUGUUGAAAAAAUGACGCGCUCGGCGCCUUACGGGAAACCAAAG